rnacentral:lncRNA from 1 species
CUAUCAUUCUAAAGUCCGGAUGAGUCAAGUCUAGAAGAUAACAUGCUAGGAUCUGUGUAUAUAUUGCCUUGCUUGUAUGUACUUUGCUUGAGUUGAAUCCAGUAGGUAUAUGUUGAUAUAAUUGCAUUUUUUUUUUAUAUAAUUAGCUCACCCUUGCAUUUGCUCGUGUUUGUGCCAUGUUUGCGUUUGUUUUCUUUUGCGAUGAUCAUCCACUUGGAUGGUAGCAGAUGGAGAGGAGGUUUCUUUGGACAUAGCCUUGGAAGGAGACGACAAUGCUGCA